AACGAACGCUGUCGCCAGGCUAACACAUGCAAGUCGAGCGAGAUCUUCGGGUCUAGCGGCGGACGGGUGAGUAACGCGUGGGAAUAUGCCUCUUGGUACGGAAUAGCCUCGGGAAACUGGGAGUAAUACCGUAUGUGCCCUUUGGGGGAAAGAUUUAUCGCCAAGAGAUUAGCCCGCGUUGGAUUAGGUAGUUGGUGGGGUAAUGGCCUACCAAGCCGACGAUCUAUAGCUGGUUUGAGAGGAUGAUCAGCCACACUGGGACUGAGACACGGCCCAGACUCUUACGGGAGGCAGCAGUGGGGAAUCUUAGACAAUGGGGGCAACCCUGAUCUAGACAUGUGGCGUGAGUGAUGAAGGGCUUAGGGUUGUAAAGCUCUUUCAGCUGGGAAGAUAAUGACGGUACCGCAGAGGAAGCCCCCGCUAUCUCCGGGCCAGGGGCGCGGUAAUACGCAGGGGGGCUAGCGUUUUUCGGAAAUUACUGGGGCGUAAAGCGCACCAGGCGGACCAGAAAAGUUGGGGGGGAAAUCUCCGGGGCUCAAACCCCGGAAAUGUCUUCAAAAAAUAUUGGGCUGGGGGUUCGGAGAGGGGAGUGGAAAUUCCGAGUGUGGAGGGGGAAAUCGCAGAAAUUUGGGAGGGACACCCGUGGGGAAGGGGGCCCCACUGGGUCGAACUGUACCUUAGGGUGUGAAAAGGUGGGGAGGAAAAGG
rnacentral:rRNA from 1 species